UACGUAGGGACGAGCGUUGUCCGGAAUUACUGGGCGUAAAGGGCGCGCAGGCUGUAGAUCAAGUCAGCUGUGAAAUGUCUGGGCUUAACCCGGGCAUGCGGUUGAAACUGAUGUACUGGAGUGCUGUAGAGGCAAGUGGAAUUCCCAGUGUAGCGGUGAAAUGCAUAGAUAUUACACAGAGCACCGAUUGCGAAGGCAGCUUACUAAUCCAUCAUUGACGCUGAGGCACGAAAGCGUGGGGAUCAAA
rnacentral:rRNA from 1 species